rnacentral:rRNA from 16 species
UAGUUGGAUUCUGGCUYUCAGGAACAACGCCUGGCGGCGCGGCUAACAUGCAGUCGACGAUGAACCGCUUUCGGGCGGGGAUUAGUGGCGAACGGGUGAGUAACACGUGGGCAAUCUGCCCUGCACUCUGGGACAAGCCCUGGAAACGGGGUCUAAUACCGGAUAUGACUGUCCAUCGCAUGGUGGAUGGUGUAAAGCUCCGGCGGUGCAGGAUGAGCCCGCGGCCUAUCAGCUUGUUGGUGAGGUAGUGGCUCACCAAGGCGACGACGGGUAGCCGGCCUGAGAGGGCGACCGGCCACACUGGGACUGAGACACGGCCCAGACUCCUACGGGAGGCAGCAGUGGGGAAUAUUGCACAAUGGGCGAAAGCCUGAUGCAGCGACGCCGCGUGAAGGGAUGACGGCCUUCGGGUUGUAAACCUCUUUCAGCAGGGAAGAAGCGAAAGUGACGGUACCUGCAGAAGAAGCGCCGGCUAACUACGUGCCA